GACGAACGCUGGCGGCGUGCCUAAUACAUGCAAGUAGAACGCUGAAGGAGGAGCUUGCUUCUCUGGAUGAGUUGCGAACGGGUGAGUAACGCGUAGGUAACCUGCCUGGUAGCGGGGGAUAACUAUUGGAAACGAUAGCUAAUACCGCAUAAUAGCAGUUAUUGCAUGAUAACUGUUUGAAAGGUGCAAUUGCACCACUACCAGAUGGACCUGCGUUGUAUUAGCUAGUUGGUGGGGUAACGGCUCACCAAGGCGACGAUACAUAGCCGACCUGAGAGGGUGAUCGGCCACACUGGGACUGAGACACGGCCCAGACUCCUACGGGAGGCAGCAGUAGGGAAUCUUCGGCAAUGGACGGAAGUCUGACCGAGCAACGCCGCGUGAGUGAAGAAGGUUUUCGGAUCGUAAAGCUCUGUUGUAAGAGAAGAACGAGUGUGAGAGUGGAAAAGUUCACACUGUGACGG
rnacentral:rRNA from 1 species